CUAUAACAUUUUUAAUGCGACGUUUCAUCGAUCAUAUAUUUCUUGCUUAUGCAUAAUGAAUGUAACAAUUCAAUAUAUAACAAAUCCAUAUUAUUUCAGACACCAAGUACAAUUAACAAAUCCGUUAUCACAAAUUAUGGCAUAGGCUCGGCCACUUGGGCCAACCUUAAGCAGGCACCCCUCCAAAGAGCAAUGGAGGUCACCAACCUAGGCCAUGGUCUUAUUGAUCGCCCAUCGACCCCGUCCGGGUAAGUAUACUUAUAAAUCAUUUUUGCAACAUUUCUACUCAACAAAGAAAGCUUUGGUCACGGAUCAAUACCAGUUUUUGCAACAUUUCUACUCAACAAAGAAAGCUUUGGUCACGGAUCAAUACCAGUUUUUGCAACAUUUCUACUCAACAAAGAAAGCUUUGGUCACGGAUCAAUACCAGAUAUGGAGAGGGGCGCUCAUGGAGAUAUUGAAUGGACCGAUAUUCCCACCUUCUAUGACCUCGAAAAGGCAUGAAUCAACCGUUUUUCACAAGUAGGAAGAUGUUCUAUGAAUAUUCAUCGAUUGUUAACCUCCGGAGUGAAGAGACUAAAUAAACUUUGGGUUAUAAGAAGCAAUAAGUAUUGUUUCAAUAGACAAAAACAUCGGGUACAAGGAAACUCGCCAUCAAGAGAGCUUAAUGCAGAAGAAAUUGGCUAUGACAUUGAGCCACUCGUUGCAACUAAUUGCAGCGUGCACACCGUAUUCUUUAGUAAAAGGCAAAAGAAUAGAUCGCUCUGUGAUCACUGAGUGGCUGCGUGAGUUCUACUGUGCAACUGUGUUCACUUGUAUAUUGCAGCAAAGUUUGUAUUUACUAGUUGUCUUAUCAAUGUGGUAUAAAAUAUUGCUCUUUGCUUCUUUUUCACAGAUCAUCGGUCCAUCUCCAUCGAUGUCUUUAUGAUUGAAAUUCUAACAUGUUUUUUCAAAUUGAAACAAUUUAAGCUGUCCUGUUAUAUGCUUUCUAAGUUGAUUAAUUUAACAUAUGAUUUUGCUUUGGUUUCGUCGUGAUUAUGAUGAAAUAUAUGCCUUGGAGUAAUUGGUAAAGUUGUUGUCAUGUGACCAGGAGGUCACGGGUUCAAGCCUUGGAAACAGUCUCUGGCAGAAAUGCAAGUUAAGGCUGCGUACGAUACCCCCUUGUGGUGGGGCCUUUCCCUGGACACCGCGCAUAGCGGUAGCUUUAGUGCACCGAGCUGCCCUUUAAGCUUUUCGAUGAAAUGUUGUAUGAGGAUGUUUUGGACCGGGCAUCUUGAAUAGCUAAAUUCCUAUGCAGGUUGUGUUUUUAAGUGUAUAGUGAAGGACCCAAUAAAUUAGAGGUGUCAAAUUCGCGAAUUUAGCUGAAUUUGAGUGGGGUCGAAAUGAGACUGAGUUAAUAAAUGAGCACGUUACUGACUCAACCGAAAGUUACUUGAGCGGGUUAUCACCCCCUACAAGAAGUCAAUGUUAAUGACCAAACUAAAGUGUUUUGAUGAGAGAUUGGAACAAAGAGUUUCUAUCCAUCGACGCAAGAAAUGAUGAAGAAAAGAAUGUGAUGGAAGCAUUAGUUGAUGCACAAUGCAGCCAAGAAAUGUUUUUCGGUGAAGUUAAUCAGAGAGAAUCCGUUGUCUCGUUACAGUUAGUUCUCUCACAAAAAUGUUAAACUACUUUAAGUUAAAGGGUUUAUCGGAAACAGUUUCUCUACUUGCAAAGUAGGGGUGAAGUCUUACAGUUAGUUCUCUCACAAAAAUGUUAAACUACUUUAAGUUAAGGAUUUAUCGGAAACAGUUUCUCUACAUGCAAGGUAGACUUUAAGUUAAGGAUUUAUCGAAAACAGUUUCUCUACUUGGUAGGGGGUAAAGUCUACAUACUCUCUCCCAGACCAUUGUUGUUCUUCAAGUAUGUGACGAAGAAAGUUAAUAGGCAAUAGACAUGUUCACAAGUCAACAGUUUAUUUGAACCAUGUUAAGUUCUAAAUUGAACACAAGAUCAACAAUAAAUCCAAAUUUCAAACAAAGUACAAUAACUAACCAAAAACAAAAAAAAAAAUUGUAUAGGAAUUGGGUAGGGGCCGCGCGAACGCAGGCCCCCUCUACCACAAAUUAUGAUGUAGGCUCAACCACUUGGGCCGACCUUAGGUAGGCACCCUUCCAAAGUGCAAUGGAAGUCACCAACCUAGGCCAUGAGUCUUACUGAUCGCCCAUUGACCCCGUCCAGGUAAGUAUAUUUUUUGUUACUCCAUCGUAUUCUUUUAUAUCCAUCCUGAUCCUUGUUUUCCUUUGUGUCAGCGAUGCGGGACAUUUUGCCCAUGUUUCACCUCUUGCUUAUUUGCUAGUUUGUGGCAAAGAUACAAUCCUGCCAAGCUAUCUUCUCAUCGAUCGGAGAUCAAAAUUUUCCAGGGGAAGACUAACGAGAGUUACGCUUUGAAGGGAAAUAUUUACUUGGUAUAGUAAACUUGUCCAAGUGAAUAUAUAGAUGAGCAUUUUUUAUUUCUUCGAUUCGAAGUAUUGCCACAUCAUCUUUCUGGUGAACAACAGACAAGAAAGUAUAGCACCUGCGUAGAGAAAAAACAUUGAACUUGUCUGCUCAACUUACUUUAGCACUUAAACUAAACUUCUGUUUAUUUACUCCCUUAACAUUUUUGAAGUGUAUUAAUUUCAACCCUCAAAACUAAAUACCACUCUCACAAGGUAGAGUGGACUACACACGUACUAUGUCAUUGCCAAAUCUGUAUCAUGUCUUUGCCACGUAAGAAAUUAUAACUUUUUUUAAAAAAAAUUUUCUUCAUUCCCUCCCUCCCCUGCGCCCUCCUUCUUCAGAUCUCUCCCUCCACCCCCCACCCACCCUCUCUCCAUACCAUUUUCAACCCCCACCCCUGCCACGAAAUGCUUUCCCCUCCAUUUUUUUUUUCAUUUACUCCAUUAUCAUCAUUAGAUAACAACUAUAAAAACACCAAUUUAAGAUAAUUCCUCCAUUAAAAUACUAUUUCAACCUUUAAUUCGAACUUCUUCGAUGUUUUCUCCGACGAAAUCAAAGAUAACUCGAAUUAAUUAUGGGUAAACAAUUGGAAGUAGGAAUAUGAAAUUAAUUGAGGCAUUUGUUAUUUUUGGGGAAAGAGAUGGUAAUUUGAUUUUUUCAUAUUGCUGAUUAUUAAUCCAUUCUUCUUAAACUUUUUCUUAAAGUAAUCCUAGCAGUUUACAGUGAGCAAUGAUUAGGGUAAUCAUGACAAUGACUAGAGUAAUAAAAAAUAAAAUGUCACGCAUUAGAGUGAAAUAAAUACACUUUAAAGAUAUUAGAGAGAUUAAAUAAAUAGAAAUUUUGUUUAAGUGCUAAAAUAAAUUAUGUAAAAGGAAGUUAAAUAGGGCUAAAAUAAGUUGAGCUUAAAAUGAUGUCUUUUUUCCACCCGAAUAUUAUCCACAAAAUUUCUAACAUAACCAAAAAUCUCAUCUUGGCAUGCAUAAUGAAUGUAACAUUCAAUAAGUAACCAAAAACAAGUAAAGAUUGAUUCAAGAAAUUGGAUAGGAGCAAGCAGGCCCCCGCUAUACUACCACAAAUUAUGACAACCACUUAACCCAAUCUUAAAGCAGGCACCCCACCAAAUUAUGAAGGCUCAACCACUUGGGCCAGUCUUAAGCAGGAACCCCUCCAGAGAUCAAUGGAGGCCGCCGACCUAACACCAUGGGUCUUAUUGAUCACAAUGAAUAUUAUUCAAUGGCAAUGUAACAAAAUGUCGAAACAAAAUUAUUGGGGCAUUCUAAAGAACAGAACCCCUCCAAAAUUUGGAGUAUGCCCCUAAUUGCAACACACACGAUAUUCUUCAGUAAUAGGCCAAAGAAUACUUCGCUUUCUGCUCAC
rnacentral:lncRNA from 1 species